rnacentral:rRNA from 1 species
UGGGGAAUAUUGCACAAUGGGGGAAACCCUGAUGCAGCGACGCCGCGUGAGCGAAGAAGGUUUUCGAAUCGUAAAGCUCUGUCCUAUGAGAAGAUAAUGGCGGUAUCAUAGGAGGAAGCCCUGGCUAAAUACGUGCCAGCAGCCGCGGUAAUACGUAUGGGGCGAGCGUUGUCCGGAAUUAUUGGGCGUAAAGGGUACGUAGGUGGUUUUUUAAGUCAGGUGUCAAAGCGUGGAGCUUAACUCCAUUAAGCACUUGAAACUGAAAGACUUGAGUGAAGGAGAGGAAAGUGGAAUUCCUAGUGUAGCGGUGAAAUGCGUAGAUAUUAGGAGGAAUACCGGUGGCGAAGGCGACUUUCUGGACUUUUACUGACGCUCAGGUACGAAAGCGUGGGGAGCAAACAGG